CCACCAUCCGUCUAUUGCUUCUGCACAGGCUGUGGGCAAGAAAAGCAGCUCUCUCCUCGUUUCAUGGGCAGAGGGUGAUAACAGGGAGAGGCCAUCUUUAUUUGUCACUUAAUGGGCAACCUGGCCCUUGCUUCAGGGCAACCAGAUGCAUCUUUUGUCCUUAACCACCUCCACGUGGAUGGCUGCCCAUCAAAUAAAGCAAGACAUCUGCCUGGAAGGGCCAAUUUACCUCAAACAGUUCAUUGAAUCUGUGGAUGAGGAGCCACAGAAAAGGAGAGCCAACUAUAUGGUGGGGGCUUUCAGCACCACGGAAUGAUCAUGUCCCCCAGAGAAGACUCAUCCAUCUCUUUCAUGGGAAAUAAAGUUCCCUUCUGGGAGCCAAUGGAAGAAGAAACUAGUGCUCAGCAGUCAGUAUGCAAACAGUUUUAUUCAGGUUUCUAAGAAGCUCUGAGACAAAUUUAUGAUCCAUCACUGAUUCGAAUACAGUAGUGGGAUAUGCUGGCAGAUACCCUGGAAUCAACCAGCCUAAUAACAGAGCCAACAAAGUGGAGUCAAGAAACGAGAGGUGAGAAAUUGGGUCCGGAUGCCUUGUAUGAAUGCUGGAUCAAGCUGUGUCUGAAGUAGAAUCUUCCACUGUUCAAUUACGAACCACCCAAUUUUCCUUGUUAUUUGAGAUCAGUUUUCUCACCUCUUGCAACUAAAUAUCUUAAUCUGUAUAAGACUUUUCUUCUCAGCUAUAGUGACUUAAUGAGGCUUCUGAAGAAUUCACUAUAUAAUUUCACCAAUUAUCAUGCAUGGGGCAAGUAUCUCAGCUUGAACAUAAACCACAUCCAUCACAGGGACUGAGAUAUGUCCAGUCACCUUGUGAACUGGUAUAGUAGGCCUGCCAUAUGUGUGUUCACACAGGGGCUGAGUUGUGUCUGGAAGAGAAGCCCAGCCGCUCGGGGAAGGAAGCUAGGUUUACGUGCUUGGCCUAGUUGGGGGUGGGGUGAUUCUGGGAAUUGCACUGGGUUGCCCCUAGUUCCCUGAGCUGGAGCCUUCAGAGAGUGAGGACCAUGUGUGAACAUGGAAAGAAUUCCUCACUGCAACUUUUCUAAGAGCUGACAGUAUGUUUGGGUAUUUUCUGUAGUCUACAACACAGUUAUAGAGACCAGUCCUGACAUCUCCAAGGUUUGAGAACACUAGAGUAGGUGAAGGAUGAAGGCGAAAUACCAGCAGUGGAGGCAGGAUCUCGUGGGGAGACCCUGUCUGUCAGGAGUUGGGAAGCUGAGUUGACAAGUGGGGCCUGGCUGGUGCAGCAGCACUCACCACCGGCAGGGGAGCCGGCGCAGGGCCCGCCAGACCCACGGCCUCCUGGCAAAGGGAAAGCAGGAAUGGAGAAGAGGGAGAAGCAGUGGAAGACAUGUGAUUACUCACUGGACCUGGGCAUGUAGGAGACACCUCCUGGAGACUCAGAGACACUGGAUGAUGAGGGGUGCGGGGCGUGAAUUUGCAGAGAGCUCCACUUCUGCGUUGGGUUCUGCAUCAUUUCUGCAAUAUGAGAAAAAGAUCUUAAAAAGUAAGUUACUGUCAUAAAUGAUGCAUAAUGGCAGGUUAACCUCCCUGCCCUGGUGACUCUGCUCUGCUAGGCUGCUGGUGACACCAUGCCUGUUUCUCUCCUGGCUUGUGUCCCCAGACAUGUUCUCCUUCUAAAACCCUACUCUUCCAGGAAAAAAGUCUCCUCUGAUGUCUGCUAGGCAGAGCUCUAUACACCCUCCUCCGUGUUCCCUUAGCAUCCUUUAUAUAUGCCUUUUUAAUACUUUUCAGGCUUUCUUUAAUUUGCUUACACACAUGUCUCUUCCACUACACUCUGAACAACUUGUGCUAUUUUAUUUUUCCUAAACCCAGUACAACUGACACACAGUAUGUGCUCAAUAAAUGUUUGCAGAACUACCAACUAGAUUUUUUUAAAAGCUAUUUUCUAAGCAUGUCUUUGAGUGAGAAAAUAUUUGGAUCCAGAGUCUGCUUGAAUUGCUGCUCCAUUUUAUUUGUAAGAGUUCUGUGUGUUCAGUAUUGAACUUUUCUUGUUAUUUCUGCUUUACUGGGAAAUCACAGCUUCUCUUGUUAUUUUUCUAGACAAGAGGGGAUGUGGCUAGAAAUUGAGGGCAUCUGACUAGGUUUUUUGAAUUAGUGACCUUAAUCUCCAAUGCCAGAAUUAAUCUUUCUUUUGUGAGGAUCAUUUAGCUGAGAAAGAGUUAAUACUUACACUACUUCACGAACAAAUUGCCUCAUUCAGGAAGGGAAAAAAAAAUUCUCCCAGAAAAUUGGAUGUCAGCGGAUUAUUCCCCCUCAGAUCCAUGGAUUAGUGUGCGUGGGGAGGGCAUCCAAGUGGAAAAAAGUGUAAUAUCAAUGUAUUUCAGGGCAGCGCUGUUCUUUCUCACCACCUCAAUUACGGUUCUCUUCAUCAUAGGCAUCAUAUGAUGCGUGUCUCACUACCUACUUCACUUAAACCUAUUAUGGAACUUUUUUUGAUCAUUAAAUAUUUGAGAGUUCUUUAGAAUUAGGAUAUACUUGCAUCAGUGUUGCCUGAAUCAACGCUCUCAUUUUUCUCUUCACCCAGACAUUGGCAAUUCAAGAAUUAUUUAAGAUGAGGAGGACCUUAAAGUAUUAUUCCUCACUUUACAGCCUUAUCAUAAACAGUCAAUUUUAUUCAGUGAAGAUGUGUAGGCUUGUAAACUAUAUAAACAUGUAUUUUUUUCUUUUAUAAAGAUUCACAAUUUACAGUGCUUAUUGAAAAAGAUAAAUACUAGGCUUGGUAAGCCAAGAGUGAAGUUACUGAAUAUUUAAAAAAAAAAAAAAAAAAAAACCCUUUGAGGUAUGAGUGCUCUUUUUCCUUGAUCAUUUAAAUAGCCCUGGAUGCCUUGUAGAGAACCCUAAAUGCAUUCUUCAUUACUAAUGACAUUUUCAUGAAAGCGGAUAUUUCUUAUUUAACAGUCCAUCUAUCUCUCCUGCAUACUCUUUACCUUCCGCCACAAAAGGCUGCAGACAAGUUUAAGUUUUCACAAGGUGACUAAUAGAAUAAUAGGCCUGAUGAAUAUUCCAGGACCUUAGAUUUUUCUCUUAAGAUCGUCAAUCCAAAAGUCCUAAGAACACUGGCCAGAGGAAAUGUCUGCCUGAAAGAAAAUAGAUGGGGAAUCGUUAACAACCCCAGGAGGAGCCACAGCUAUUGAUCUUUGAGCUCCUGAACAUGUCAGUCAGAGUAAAUGACUUGGUGUCAUCUGAGAUGUUUGAAAGCCACCAUCAAGGCAGCAGGUGUGAUCCUGUGAUGCCAGGCAACUGCUGGUCUUGAAAGUGUUGUGAUAACACAUACACACACACACACACACACACACACACAAAGUGGGGUUUCCCAUUGGGAGAGGCAAAGGGGAGGUUCAGAUGAACAAAGAGCAGGGUUUGGGCUAACAUUGUGCUCUUGGAUGAUUCCUAGGUCUAGGCAGAAGACGUGUAGCCUAUUUUCUAAAUAAAAUUAUUUUUU